rnacentral:rRNA from 1 species
UUAAGCGACUAAGCGUACACGGUGGAUGCCCUGGCAGUCAGAGGCGAUGAAGGACGUGCUAAUCUGCGAAAAGCGUCGGUAAGGUGAUAUGAACCGUUAUAACCGGCGAUGUCCGAAUGGGGAAACCCAGUGCAAUUCGUUGCACUAUCGUUAACUGAAUACAUAGGUUAACGAGGCGAACCGGGGGAACUGAAACAUCUAAGUACCCCGAGGAAAAGAAAUCAACCGAGAUUCCCCCAGUAGCGGCGAGCGAACGGGGAGCAGCCCAGAGUCUGAAUCAGCUUGUGUGUUAGUGGAACGGUCUGGAAAGUCCGACGGUACAGGGUGAUAGUCCCGUACACCAAAAUGCACAGGUUGUGAACUCGAAGAGUAGGGCGGGACACGUGGUAUCCUGUCUGAAUAUGGGGGGACCAUCCUCCAAGGCUAAAUACUCCUGACUGACCGAUAGUGAACCAGUACCGUGAGGGAAAGGCGAAAAGAACCCCGGCGAGGGGAGUGAAAAAGAACCUGAAACCGUGUACGUACAAGCAGUGGGAGCACCUUCGGGUGUGACUGCGUACCUUUUGUAUAAUGGGUCAGCGACUUAUAUUCUGUAGCAAGGUUAACCGUAUAGGGGAGCCGCAGGGAAACCGAGUCUUAACUGGGCGUUAAGUUGCAGGGUAUAGACCCGAAACCCGGUGAUCUAGCCAUGGGCAGGUUGAAGGUUGGGUAACACUAACUGGAGGACCGAACCGACUAAUGUUGAAAAAUUAGCGGAUGACUUGUGGCUGGGGGUGAAAGGCCAAUCAAACCGGGAGAUAGCUGGUUCUCCCCGAAAGCUAUUUAGGUAGCGCCUCGUGAAUUCAUCUUCGGGGGUAGAGCACUGUUUCGGCUAGGGGGUCAUCCCGACUUACCAACCCGAUGCAAACUACGAAUACCGAAGAAUGUUAUCACGGGAGACACACGGCGGGUGCUAACGUCCGUCGUGAAGAGGGAAACAACCCAGACCGCCAGCUAAGGUCCCAAAGUCAUGGUUAAGUGGGAAACGAUGUGGGAAGGCACAGACAGCCAGGAUGUUGGCUUAGAAGCAGCCAUCAUUUAAAGAAAGCGUAAUAGCUCACUGGUCGAGUCGGCCUGCGCGGAAGAUGUAACGGGGCUAAACCAUGCACCGAAGCUGCGGCAGCGACACUAUGUGUUGUUGGGUAGGGGAGCGUUCUGUAAGCCUGCGAAGGUGACCUGUGAGGGUUGCUGGAGGUAUCAGAAGUGCGAAUGCUGACAUAAGUAACGAUAAAGCGGGUGAAAAGCCCGCUCGCCGGAAGACCAAGGGUUCCUGUCCAACGUUAAUCGGGGCAGGGUGAGUCGACCCCUAAGGCGAGGCCGAAAGGCGUAGUCGAUGGGAAACAGGUUAAUAUUCCUGUACUUGGUGUUACUGCGAAGGGGGGACGGAGAAGGCUAUGUUAGCCGGGCGACGGUUGUCCCGGUUUAAGCAUGUAGGCUGAUUGUCCAGGCAAAUCCGGAUAAUCAAGGCUGAGGUGUGAUGACGAGGCACUACGGUGCUGAAGUAACAAAUGCCCUGCUUCCAGGAAAAGCCUCUAAGCAUCAGGUAACAUUAAAUCGUACCCCAAACCGACACAGGUGGUCAGGUAGAGAAUACCAAGGCGCUUGAGAGAACUCGGGUGAAGGAACUAGGCAAAAUGGUGCCGUAACUUCGGGAGAAGGCACGCUGGUGUGUAGGUGAAGUCCCUGCGGAUGGAGCUGAGACCAGUCGAAGAUACCAGCUGGCUGCAACUGUUUAUUAAAAACACAGCACUGUGCAAACACGAAAGUGGACGUAUACGGUGUGACGCCUGCCCGGUGCCGGAAGGUUAAUUGAUGGGGUUAUCCGUAAGGAGAAGCUCUUGAUCGAAGCCCCGGUAAACGGCGGCCGUAACUAUAACGGUCCUAAGGUAGCGAAAUUCCUUGUCGGGUAAGUUCCGACCUGCACGAAUGGCGUAAUGAUGGCCAGGCUGUCUCCACCCGAGACUCAGUGAAAUUGAACUCGCUGUGAAGAUGCAGUGUACCCGCGGCAAGACGGAAAGACCCCGUGAACCUUUACUAUAGCUUGACACUGAACAUUGAGCCUUGAUGUGUAGGAUAGGUGGGAGGCUUUGAAGCGUGGACGCCAGUCUGCGUGGAGCCAACCUUGAAAUACCACCCUUUAAUGUUUGAUGUUCUAACGUUGGCCCCUGACCGGGGUUGCGGACAGUGUCUGGUGGGUAGUUUGACUGGGGCGGUCUCCUCCCAAAGCGUAACGGAGGAGCACGAAGGUUAGCUAAUCCUGGUCGGACAUCAGGAGGUUAGUGCAAUGGCAUAAGCUAGCUUGACUGCGAGCGUGACGGCGCGAGCAGGUGCGAAAGCAGGUCAUAGUGAUCCGGUGGUUCUGAAUGGAAGGGCCAUCGCUCAACGGAUAAAAGGUACUCCGGGGAUAACAGGCUGAUACCGCCCAAGAGUUCAUAUCGACGGCGGUGUUUGGCACCUCGAUGUCGGCUCAUCACAUCCUGGGGCUGAAGUAGGUCCCAAGGGUAUGGCUGUUCGCCAUUUAAAGUGGUACGCGAGCUGGGUUUAGAACGUCGUGAGACAGUUCGGUCCCUAUCUGCCGUGGGCGCUGGAGAAUUGAGGGGGGCUGCUCCUAGUACGAGAGGACCGGAGUGGACGCAUCACUGGUGUUCGGGUUGUCAUGCCAAUGGCACUGCCCGGUAGCUAAAUGCGGAAGAGAUAAGUGCUGAAAGCAUCUAAGCACGAAACUUGCCCCGAGAUGAGUUCUCCCUGAGACUUUAAGUCUCCUGAAGGAACGUUAAAGACGAUGACGUUGAUAGGCCGGGUGUGUAAGCGCAGCGAUGCGUUGAGCUAACCGGUACUAAUGAACCGUGAGGCUUAACCU